rnacentral:rRNA from 1 species
AAAGCGAGCGACGGAUGGGUGAGUGACACGUGGGGAACCUGCCCCUAAGUCUGGGAUACCAUUUGGAAACAGGUGCUAAUACCGGAUAAUAAAGCAGAUCGCAUGAUCAGCUUUUGAAAGGCGGCGUAAGCUGUCGCUAAGGGAUGGCCCCGCGGUGCAUUAGCUAGUUGGUAAGGUAACGGCUUACCAAGGCGACGAUGCAUAGGCGAGUUGAGAGACUGAUCGGCCACAUUGGGACUGAGACACGGCCCAAACUCCUACGGGAGGCAGCAGUAGGGAAUCUUCCACAAUGGACGCAAGUCUGAUGGAGCAACGCCGCGUGAGUGAAGAAGGUUUUCGGAUCGUAAAGCUCUGUUGUUGGUGAAGAAGGAUAGAGGUAGUAACUGGCCUUUAUUUGACGGUAAUCAACCAGAAAGUCACGGCUAACUACGUGCCAGCAGCCGCGGUAAUACGUAGGUGGCAAGCGUUGUCCGGAUUUAUUGGGCGUAAAGCGAGCGCAGGCGGAAAAAUAAGUCUAAUGUGAAAGCCCUCGGCUUAACCGAGGAACUGCAUCGGAAACUGUUUUUCUUGAGUGCAGAACAGGAGAGUGGAACUCCAUGUGUAGCGGUGGAAUGCGUAGAUAUAUGGAAGAACACCAGUGGCGAAGGCGGCUCUCUGGUCUGCAACUGACGCUGAGGCUCGAAAGCAUGUGUAGCGAACA